GGGCACUUGGCACAGUUGGUAGCGCGCACGCUUCGCAUUACUAGAUUGCGUGAGGUCGUGGGUUCAACUCCCACAGUGUCCA